rnacentral:rRNA from 1 species
CAGUCGACGCUUCUUUCCUCCCGAGUGCUUGCACUCAAUUGGAAAGAGGAGUGGCGAACGGGUGAGUAACACGUGGGUAACCUGCCCAUCAGAAGGGGAUAACACUUGGAAACAGGUGCUAAUACCGUAUAACAAUCGAAACCGCAUGGUUUUGAUUUGAAAGGCGCUUUCGGGUGUCGCUGAUGGAUGGACCCGCGGUGCAUUAGCUAGUUGGUGAGGUAACGGCUCACCAAGGCCACGAUGCAUAGCCGACCUGAGAGGGUGAUCGGCCACAUUGGGACUGAGACACGGCCCAAACUCCUACGGGAGGCAGCAGUAGGGAAUCUUCGGCAAUGGACGAAAGUCUGACCGAGCAACGCCGCGUGAGUGAAGAAGGUUUUCGGAUCGUAAAACUCUGUUGUUAGAGAAGAACAAGGAUGAGAGUAACUGUUCAUCCCUUGACGGUAUCUAACCAGAAAGCCACGGCUAACUACGUGCCAGCAGCCGCGGUAAUACGUAGGUGGCAAGCGUUGUCCGGAUUUAUUGGGCGUAAAGCGAGCGCAGGCGGUUUCUUAAGUCUGAUGUGAAAGCCCCCGGCUCAACCGGGGAGGGUCAUUGGAAACUGGGAGACUUGAGUGCAGAAGAGGAGAGUGGAAUUCCAUGUGUAGCGGUGAAAUGCGUAGAUAUAUGGAGGAACACCAGUGGCGAAGGCGGCUCUCUGGUCUGUAACUGACGCUG